AGUGAACGCUGGCGGCAGGCCUAACACAUGCAAGUCGAACGGCAGAACAGGAGAGCUUGCUCUCUGGGUGGCGAGUGGCGGACGGGUGAGGAAUACAUCGGAAUCUACCUUUUCGUGGGGGAUAACGUAGUGAAACUUACGCUAAUACCGCAUACGACCUACGGGUGAAAGUGGGGGACCGCAAGGCCUCACGCGAUUAGAUGAGCCGAUGUCCGAUUAGCUAGUUGGCGGGGUAAUGGCCCACCAAGGCGACGAUCGGUAGCUGGUCUGAGAGGAUGAUCAGACACACUGGGACGGAGACACGGUCCAGACUCCUACGGGAGGCAGCAGUGGGGAAUCUUGGACAAUGGGCGCAAGCCUGAUCCAGCCAUACCGCGUGGGUGAAGAAGGCCUUCGGGUUGUAAAGCCCUUUUGUUGGGAAAGAAAUCCUGUCGAUUAAUACUCGGUGGGGAUGACGGUACCCAAAGAAUAAGCACCGGCUAACUUCGUGCCAGCAGCCGCCGUAAGAC
rnacentral:rRNA from 1 species